ACGGACAGGGUUUCCCCUGUACUGCAGACAGAGUCUCCCCUGUACGUUCAAGGCAUCGCAAUCAAUACAAUACAAAGGUUCCAACCAGGAACAGUACUUAACAAACAGAUUUGCAUAAGGAAGGUAUCAACAACAUAACACAUCCUAUGUUAUUACAUACAUUCACAUUCUUACAUUUUUACAUCACAGUUCUCAUUUGAUUUUCCCCAAAUACAAUCUAAGUUAUUACAUCAUUUACUUAUUACAGUUUGAU
rnacentral:lncRNA from 1 species